rnacentral:rRNA from 1 species
UGGGGAAUUUUGGACAAUGGGCGAAAGCCUGAUCCAGCAAUGCCGCGUGUGUGAAGAAGGCCUUCGGGUUGUAAAGCACUUUUGUCCGGAAAGAAAUCCUUGGCUCUAAUACAGUCGGGGGAUGACGGUACCGGAAGAAUAAGCACCGGCUAACUACGUGCCAGCAGCCGCGGUAAUACGUAGGGUGCAAGCGUUAAUCGGAAUUACUGGGCGUAAAGCGUGCGCAGGCGGUUUGCUAAGACCGAUGUGAAAUCCCCGGGCUCAACCUGGGAACUGCAUUGGUGACUGGCAGGCUAGAGUAUGGCAGAGGGGGGUAGAAUUCCACGUGUAGCAGUGAAAUGCGUAGAGAUGUGGAGGAAUACCGAUGGCGAAGGCAGCCCCCUGGGCCAAAUACUGACGCUCAUGCACGAAAGCGUGGGGAGCAAACAGGAUUAGAUACCCUGGUAGUCCACGCCCUAAAACGAUGUCAACUAGUUGUUGGGGAUUCAUUUCCUUAGUAACGUAGCUAACGCGUGAAGUUGACCGCCUGGGGAGUACGGUCGCAAGAUUAAAACUCAAAUGAAUUGACGGGGUCAUAGCUGUUUCCU